AAACUACUCCCCCCGUCCCAAAAUUCUUUGUCUUAGAUUUGUCUAAAUACGGAUGUGUCAAGUCACAUUUUAGUAUUAGAUACAUCCGUAACUAGACAAAUCUAAGACAAGAAUUUUGGGACGGAGGGAGUAGUCA
rfam:Triticum aestivum genome assembly, contig: Triticum_aestivum_CS42_TGACv1_scaffold_624098_7DS